rnacentral:rRNA from 1 species
AAUGAACGCUGGCGGCAGGCCUAACACAUGCAAGUCGAACGAGUAAGAGCCGUAGCAAUACGGAGUUCUGCUAGUGGCGCACGGGUGAGUAACGCGUGGGAACGUGCCUUGGAGUUCGGGAUAACAGUUGGAAACGACUGCUAAUACCGAAUAUUCCCUCAGGGGAAAGAUUUAUCGCUCCAAGAUCGGCCCGCGUAAGAUUAGGUAGUUGGUGGGGUAAUGGCCUACCAAGCCUACGAUCUUUAGCUGGUCUGAGAGGACGACCAGCCACACUGGAACUGAGACACGGUCCAGACUCCUACGGGAGGCAGCAGUGGGGAAUAUUGGACAAUGGGCGAAAGCCUGAUCCAGCCAUGCCGCGUGAAUGAUGAAGGCCUUAGGGUUGUAAAA